GAUUUAGUAAAACUCACUCUUUGUUAGUGUUUCCACCAUGAAUUGUUUCAUAAGCCACCUUAUGGAGAAAACGAUGGCAGUGCUUUUUAGGAUAACAACCCCCCCAAUCCAGCAUUCUAGUUUCAGCACUUUUUGCCGUUAAAGAGUAAUGAGGAACAGAAGGACAGUGCCCCCCCACACCCCCUCCCCACCUUCCCAUCUUCACAAACUAUCAACUUUGGGGACUGAAUGUAUUCUUCGCUAGAUAAUUAAUGGCUACAGACAAAUGGUGGUUGAUUGAGCGACUCAUCCCUCUAUUUUCAAUCACCAUCUGCUGUGUGUUGCCGGCAAAAAACAAUGUUAAUUACCUCGAGUGUGCCCAAGAUGUGGCGUAUUAAUUAGAAAAAAAAAAAAGGGAAAUCUAAAAGAUUCCAUUAUUUUAGUGUUUUUAACGAAGGGCUUGUGUUCAUAGAUUUUGUUGAUGGAUUAACGCAGGAAUUCAAUCCAGAAGGAAAUCAUUUGUUAAUUUAGCCUUUUUGCCAUUUGCUAACAGAUCGGUGUCGCUUUGAGGCACUUUCACUUACCUGCCUCCUGUGCCUGCCGGCCAUGACAGGCCUUUAAGAAUGCUGGGGCUGGCAACUCUAUGCCACACAGACGGGACAUCAGCAGAAAGAUGAAUCUCCACUGUGACCGCAGGGACAGCCAGCUGACAGAAAGCGUUAAGGUUCUGGAUGCAGACGGUCGGGCUUUUUCAGAGGGGGCAUCACCUGACCAAAAAAAGAAACGGAAAAAAAAAGGAAAGGUGAAUAGAGAAGAGAGACGAGGCGGUACUUAAUCGGCAUGACAAGGCUUUGAUGGUAUUCUUUGGGCCAAAACUGUGAUGGCUCCCUGUGAACACUCCCCCACCGCUCCCCUUCUCCAAAGUUUGUAGGUGGUGUGAGGGUUGAUCCUGACAGGCCCAGCUUUGUACGACAUCACAAACGAGCUGAUGCAGAGAGCAGCAUGUAAAUGUGGAGACGAUGUGAGCAGCACAUCGAUGGUAAUUAUAUAGCAAUCAUAGAAUAGCAUCAAUAACAAUUAGCAUAAUUUCCAUGACUUCGGUACUUAAUGGCUUCAUUCCAAAUACCGACAAAUCAAACAUGAUUAUUUCCUUCACAUAAAUAGGUAUUUACAGUCUGCACUAGACUGGAUUAAGAACAUUAAGCAGUUUGGAUAAAAUACAGCAGGCCACAGGAUUACCAAGAUUUAUAACGGAAAAAUGGAAUAAUGGACGAAACUGGAACUAAAUCAGUUACCCCCUAAAAACAAAAACACUUUAACUUUUUACACAUGCAGGUCAGUCCUCAUUCCAAUACAAAACUGCCCAACUCUAGUUGGGAUAAACACACAAAUACCAUUGACUGUAUAUAGGAAUUGGACAGAGUGAGUGUCACCCAUAGAAAAUUAUUCGACUACUUUCGGCCCUAUGAAAUGAAGUAAAUUUGUAGCAAUGUUUACAUUUAAAUUUGAACAGGAAUGUCUUUUUACUGAUGGAAUAAAAAUAGAAUUCAGUAAUGGCUUUCUACGUGAUAACCCUGGUUAAAAUGGUCCUGUAUGUUUUCUUUUGUCUGAGUUUAUGUUCAAAUGAAUGGUGGUGGACUUUUCACCUACAGCAUAAGAGGAGCUUUGGACUACAAACAUGGCUACUUGGGGACUUCCUGUCACACAGGUGCUUUGCCAAUUACAAACAUUACAAAUGAGAGGAGAGUCUCUCAGAAAUCAGCUGGGAGAGGCCUGACCAGAGUGAAGAUUCCGGAGUGAGCCACACACAACGUGACAGCUGCAAAACACGCACUGUUAAGGAUUACCAAGAUGCUGGAGGAAAGUACCAACCGCUUUGGUGGAAGAUGUUGGAAAUGUAUCUACCAAUGGGGGAGACCUUCACUGGACAGAUCCGUUUCAAAGCUGUUCCAUCAGUUCCAACCAGAGCUGCGUGACAGAUGUUUGAACGGCAGGCUUCUGCCCUGACCGAAGGAGCAGUCAUUUUUGGAAGAGUGCCACUCAAUUCCAGCUGGGAUGCAUUCACUCAAGGCAAGUUGAAAUAUUACAUCUCAUAUUUGUUUAGUUUUUUUUUUAUUCCAAUUACAUCAUAGGUCAUACAUUUGCAAAACCAUUUGGACAAACUAAGAUAUUUCCAUUGAUGAAAAUACUUUUCCAUGUCGUCUUUUGAAAUUGGAAAAGGCUGGACAAAGGUUGGGGUCGGCGAGUGUGGACUUGAAAAGGAGAAUCAAAGGCAAAUCUCUGUGGACUGCAGCUAUUACUUUGUAACAAAUAGAGGAAAAGGUCUCCCUGUGGAAUACGUGCCCUGUGUGGGUGAAAGCUUCGCCCACGCGAAAUGAUGGCACAGCAGGGCUGUGGCCCCAGGCCCUUCAGCUGUACCUUUGUAGUCACGGACCGAGAAACACGCCCACCAGAGAGGUCUAUGAAAGUAUCGUCUUCAACAAUAAAGUUUUCAGUGGGACACGCUUCAGUCCAUGGACAAAGUCCCACUCCGACAACUUUGGUUCACCCUUGAGCUCGUGUGAACACAGAGUACCUGCGCAGCGACACACUGUGUGUGUUGUUGUGUGUGGUUGCAUGCCGCCUGCCUGCGUCAAACAGCUCUAUUUGAGGUGGCAGGCACAGGUGCGCUAACGGCAUGGCAGGCUGCAGCAGGUUAUUGGCCGACAGAUGGAGCGGAAGGCGGGGGGCGCGGGGAUGAUUGCCGGGUGGAGGGGUGGAAGUUGGAGAAGAUGGGGGCGGCCACUAAAACUGUUGGGGUUUGGGUCUAUUGGAGGAGUAGCAACCUACUUAAAAUGAAAAAAAAAAAAAAA